rnacentral:lncRNA from 1 species
UUGGGAUGGAGGGAUAGAAUUCCUUCUCUUAGCCCCACUGAGAACCAUUAAGAAGCUGCCUUGCCUAGUUUGGUCUAACUUGAGAAUUAGAUGGCACAGAGUGGUUAACUAAAAACAACUUUGGUAUUCCCUGGAUCAGGUACUAUGCCAGGUCCCAGGGAUGCAGAGCGGGCGAAAAAGUCAGUUCCUUAAAGUAAAAAAACACAAAUGGUAAUUACACAAGUUUUAAGCAAGUGAAUUCUAUAACAACGUUAGUUGGUUCUCUACCUUGAAAAGUGGGCUCUAUUUUGGUUAACAAGGCUGCUACCAUAUGGGUUGUUGACAUUUUCUGCCUCAUCCAGCUCUUCUGACACCUUUAUGUAGUAUCUGAACCACUUGUGGGUCCCCCAGAGUACUAUAUACUCUUCCCUUUGGACUUUUGUGCAAAAUUUCCUGUCAGACAUAUCUUUUACCUAAUUUUAUUUCUGAUGCUGAAUCUUGCCACUGGAAACACUGAGUGUCAUUACUGGUUCACAAUUUCUCCUACAGUAUUUGCUGCAGGCAUAUUAGUUGGUGCUUUCCUUGGCAGGAUUCUGUGUUCUACAGGUCCUCUGGUAAGAAUCUGCCUUUGUCCCUGGGUCCUUUUGUUCCCCCUUUCCAGAUAGACUGGAGAAUUUGUCAAUGUGCUGAGUUCCUUCAGUGCUUCAGUAUUCUUGAGGCAGCUAAUUCAGCUUGACUUCAAGUGAUUUCCCUCCCGUUUUGGUACUGGUGGAAUCUGACUUCUGGUUACCUCUACUGAAAAGCAAUUCUGAAGUCCAUUUUCUCUACGUUCCCUUGGGACUGGCAAGUGGUUUGAGUUUCCAAAGGAUCUGUUUAGCUCAUGGGUGUUUAGAGGGGUUCAAGCUGGUGAAUUAAAAGUGGAGGAAGGAGAUGGUAUGGAAAUUUAGGACCCUAGAGCAAUCCUAGAAGAAUUUCUUGGAGGAGAAACUUUCUUGAUGUUUGUGGUCUUUCUAAAAAUCCAAGGAAAUUUUGCAUUCUGAUUGAGGAGUUUUCCUAUGACUGGCCUACUUGAGUUC